UCCCUCUUAGCUCAGUUGGUAGAGCGCGUCACUAGUAUUCUGCAUGUAGCUACAUAACUCAUGACGAGGUCAGUCGUUCAAAUCGGCUAGCGGGAA